rnacentral:rRNA from 1 species
ACGCUGGCGGCGUGCUUAACACAUGCAAGUCGAACGGGAAACCUUUUAUUGAAGCUUCGGCAGAUUUAGAUUGUUUCUAGUGGCGGACGGGUGAGUAACGCGUGGGUAACCUGCCUUGUACAGGGGGAUAACAGUCAGAAAUGACUGCUAAUACCGCAUAAGCGCACAGGACCGCAUGGUCCGGUGUGAAAAACUCCGGUGGUAUAAGAUGGACCCGCGUUGGAUUAGCUAGUUGGUGGGGUAACGGCCCACCAAGGCGGCGAUCCAUAGCCGACCUGAGAGGGUGAUCGGCCACAUUGGAACUGAGACACGGUCCAAACUCCUACGGGAGGCAGCAGUGGGGAAUAUUGCACAAUGGGCGAAAGCCUGAUGCAGCAACGCCGCGUGAGCGAUGAAGGCCUUCGGGUCGUAAAGCUCUGUCCUCAAGGAAGAUAAUGACGGUACUUGAGGAGGAAGCCCCGGCUAACUACGUGCCAGCAGCCGCGGUAAUACGUAGGGGGCUAGCGUUAUCCGGAAUUACUGGGCGUAAAGGGUGCGUAGGUGGUUUCUUAAGUCAGAGGUGAAAGGCUACGGCUCAACCGUAGUAAGCCUUUGAAACUGGGAAACUUGAGUGCAGGAGAGGAGAGUGGAAUUCCUAGUGUAGCGGUGAAAUGCGUAGAUAUUAGGAGGAACACCAGUUGCGAAGGCGGCUCUCUGGACUGUAACUGACACUGAGGCACGAAAGCGUGGGGAGCAAACAGGAUUAGAUACCCUGGUAGUCCACGCCGUAAACGAUGAGUACUAGCUGUCGGAGGUUACCCCCUUCGGUGGCGCAGUUAACGCAUUAAGUACUCCGCCUGGGAAGUACGCUCGCAAGAGUGAAACUCAAAGGAAUUGGCGGGGACCCGCACAAGUAGCGGAGCAUGUGGUUUAAUUCGAAGCAACGCGAAGAACCUUACCUAAGCUUGACAUCCUUUUGACCGAUGCCUAAUCGCAUCUUUCUCUUCGGGGACAGAAGUGACAGGUGGUGCAUGGUUGUCGUCAGCUCGUGUCGUGAGAUGUUGGGUUAAGUCCCGCAACGAGCGCAACCCUUGCCUUUAGUUGCCAGCAUUAAGUUGGGCACUCUAGAGGGACUGCCAGGGAUAACCUGGAGGAAGGUGGGGAUGACGUCAAAUCAUCAUGCCCCUUAUGCUUAGGGCUACACACGUGCUACAAUGGGUGGUACAGAGGGCAGCCAAGUCGUGAGGCGGAGCUAAUCCCUUAAAGCCAUUCUCAGUUCGGAUUGUAGGCUGAAACUCGCCUACAUGAAGCUGGAGUUACUAGUAAUCGCAGAUCAGAAUGCUGCGGUGAAUGCGUUCCCGGGUCUUGUACACACCGCCCGUCACACCACGGGUGUUGGGGGCGCCCGAAGCCGGAUUGCUAACCUUUUGGAAGCGUCCGUCGAAGGUGAAAUCAAUAACUGGGGUGAAGUCGUAACAAGGUA